UACGGAGGGUGCGAGCGUUGUCCGGAAUCAUUGGGCGUAAAGGGCGCGUAGGUGGCCCGGUGAGUCUUUGGUGAAAGCGCGGGGCUCAACCCUGCGUCGGCCAGGGAUACUGCCGCGGCUCGAGCACUGUAGAGGCAGGCGGAAUUCCGGGUGUAGCGGUGGAAUGCGUAGAGAUCCGGAAGAACACCGGUGGCGAAUGCGGCCUGCUGGGCAGUGGCUGACGCUGAGGCGCGACAGCGUGGGGAGCAAACAGG
rnacentral:rRNA from 1 species